GACGAACGCUGGCGGCGUGCUUAACACAUGCAAGUCGAACGGAAAGGCCCUGCUUUUGUGGGGUGCUCGAGUGGCGAACGGGUGAGUAACACGUGAGUAACCUGCCCUUGACUUUGGGAUAACUUCAGGAAACUGGGGCUAAUACCGGAUAGGAGCUCCUGCUGCAUGGUGGGGGUUGGAAAGUUUCGGCGGCUGGGGAUGGACUCGCGGCUUAUCAGCUUGUUGGUGGGGUAGUGGCUUACCAAGGCUUUGACGGGUAGUCGGCCUGAGAGGGUGACCGGCCACAUUGGGACUGAGAUACGGCCCAGACUCCUACGGGAGGCAGCAGUGGGGAAUAUUGCACAAUGGGCGGAAGCCUGAUGCAGCAACGCCGCGUGCGGGAUGACGGCCUUCGGGUUGUAAACCGCUUUCGCCUGUGACGAAGCGUGAGUGACGGUAAUGGGUAAAGAAGCACCGGCUAACUACGUG
rnacentral:rRNA from 1 species